ensembl:lncRNA
AUAUUUUUAUUCCAGUUAAAUGCAUUAAAAGAGCAAUUUCCUGAUCCUUCCAGGAACACACCAGAAAUUUGUUAUUGCCACCUCCACCAAAAUUGAGAUCAGUGGAGUGAAAAUCUGAUGCUUACUUCAAGAAGAAGAAGCUGCUUAAACCCAGGAACCAGGAAGUCACUGAAGUUCUGAUGUGCAUUUCAGCAAGUUCACUGUCUGCUUUUGGAGAAGGGGUAAAGCAACUGGCGAGGAGCCCAGAAGACUGUUGCUGUAAUUCAGAUUACCACAGAAUAUUGGGUAGAGUUACCUGUGCUAUACAGAAGGUCUCCACGGACCCUCUAUUCUGGCCACACCUGUGGGGGCCAGAUGUUGAAUCAGAGCUAUAGCUGCUGGCCCAUGCCAUAGCCACAGCAACACGGGAUCCAAGCUGCAUCUGCAACCUACACCACAACUCACAGCGAUGCUGCAUCCUUAACCUACUGAGCGAGGCCAGGGACUGAACCUGCAUCCUCAUGGAUACUACUUGGGUUCUUAAACUAUUGGGCCACAACAGGAAUUCCUUUUAUAUGAUUUUUAAGUGGACUUGUCUUUAUUCAUCAUUCUCUUAGUUGCUGUAAACCUUUGAAAGUUUUCUAGAGUUGUGAUAAAUUUGAUUCUGGCAGUUUCUGCUCAGUUUUAAAAUAUUUCUAUGGAGGGAUAUGUUCUUGGAGCUGCUUACUCCACCAGUUUUGCUGACUUUACUCUCUCUCCCAUUUUUCUUAUGAUCUCCCUUUAGUUAUGGCUCCCACUUCCCUUUUCAUCCCUGCCUUCAAAAAUUUCUUGAAGCUACCAGAAACUAUAUUUUGCUUUUCUUCAUUUUACUUGUUUUAGUGCUUUUGUUGCUUUGUGUUAUGGUUGUGUGCAUUUGUAUGUGAAUGUUGAAGAAAUUCAGGUGAUGGCAAAUUUGAGGAUCCAGUUGGCAGAAAAAUUAGCCAUCAUUAGGUGUCUUUAACUUUUUAAAAUAUUUUUGGCUUUUUAGGGCCACACCCAUGGUUCCCAGGCUGGGGGUCAAAUUGGAGCUACAGUUGCUGGCCUAUACCAUGGCCACAGCAACACCAGAUCCUAGUUGCAUCUGUGACCUAUACCACAGCUCAUGGCAAUGCCAAAUCCUUAACCCACUGAGCAAGGCCAGGGAUCGAACCUGAAUCCUCAUGGAUGCUAGUCAGAUCCAUUUCUGCUGAGCCAUGAUGGGAACUCCAAGGUGUCUUUAAAUAUAUGCUUUGCCCUACAUUGAAAGCCAUUUGAUGGAAGGGACAUUGUUCUCUUCCCAUGAAGUAAAGUAUUUAAAAACAUUAGUAAUCAGGAACUGAUCUAGCUAAUAAAAGGGACAACCAAAUGUUUAUUGAAGCUGUCACUGUCAAGCUCAUUGUGUUCUGGUUUAUAGGGAGUAAAAAAAAAAAAAAUAACCAUUAUGCGGUAAUUAACACCACAAAAUAUAAAUCUUGCAAGUAAUUAGGCAGCGGUGUAUUUAUCAGUACAGAAUGUAUUUUAAUUUUUAAUCAGGGCUUUUGUUCCAACUGACAAAAUAAUGGCUUGUUUGGAGUCUUCCAAUGAAACACACUUCCCAGAGUGGGAUUUGCUGCAUCAGUGAGCCUCUCUCUGUUUCAUUUGCCAUCAAGUCUGAUGCACCAUGUAAUCCCCUCAGUGAGAGGUUCCAAGGAAAUAGUGUGCUGCUUUCAAAUUGGCAGUGUUUCCCCAUAUAUGAGUCACAAUAAAUAAAAAUGGUCUAUUUAAGCAAUACAUUCCCAUUUGCAGGGACAUGAAAGAGAAAUAUUAUUACAAAGGCAUUGAAAGUAUUGUAUGAACAGCCAGAAUGUUUUUAUGGACCCAGAGUAAAGAUUAAAUCUCCAGAGAAACCUCAAAAUUGGAGAAUUCCAAUUGGGAUAGUUGUUAUGUUGCCCAUGGCAGAAAUCUUCCUGCUUAUCUCCAUCCCAAACAUAAGCAAUAUGUACAUAAUUUAGAUGCAAAAGAUAAUAGGAUUUCAGCAACCUACCUCUGUUUCUAUAGCAAUAAUUUCCAAAGAAAUAGUAUUUGUUAAAAUUAAUAGAUAUGAAGGUGCCAUUGGGGCAUUUGAUAAAACACAGAAGGAGCUCCAGAAUUUAAUCAGAAAACCUAAAUCUGAACCCAGACUCUCUAGUUUACUAUGUGGCUUUACCAAGAGGUUUCGGCUUUCUGUACUUUUGUUUUCUCUUUGGUAAAAUGGGAAUCCUUCUUCCUGACCAAAAAUUUUGUUGCAUUACCUUGGGGAUUUGAAGAUACAUCAUAAGAGAAAAAAGCAGAAAAAUGCUGUGCAAACUAUUUAAAUUCUGACUUUCCACUUAUUCACUGUGACCUUUGGUAAGCUACCUAAUCAUUAAACAGCCUUUGUUUGCUUAUAUGGAACAUGGAGACAGCAUUGUUCAUCUCACAGGGUUCUUUUGAAUAUUUCUUAAAAUCUUCUUAAAAAAUUUCUUGGACUAAAAUGGAGUGUGAUCAUAUUGUUGAAUGUAUAAAUAUAGUAAGGCCUUUCUGUUAUUUGCUUUUCUGUUGGGUUUUUUGUUUGUCUUUGUGUGUGUG